GACGAACGCUGGCGGCGUGCUUAACACAUGCAAGUCGAACGGAAAGGCCCUGCUUGCAGGGUACUCGAGUGGCGAACGGGUGAGUAACACGUGGGUGAUCUGCCCUGCACUUCGGGAUAAGCCUGGGAAACUGGUUCUAAUACCGGAUAGGAGCCAUUUUUAGUGUGAUGGUUGGAAAGUUUUUUCGGUGUAGGAUGAGCUCGCGGCCUAUCAGCUUGUUGGUGGGGUAAUGGCCUACCAAGGCGGUGACGGGUAGCCGGACUGAGAGGGUGGACGGCCACAUUGGGACUGAGAUACGGCCGAGACUCCUACGGGGGGCAGCAGGGGAGAAUAUUGCACAAUGGGCGCCAGCCUGAUGCAGCGAAGCCGCGUGGGGGAUGACGGCCUUCGGGUUGUAAACUCCUUUCGCUAGGGACGAAGCUUUUUGUGACGGUACCUAGAUAAGAAGCACCGGCUAACUACGUG
rnacentral:rRNA from 1 species